CUUAGGGUUUGAGGGGCAGCCGCGUAAGAGAGAAAGAGAGAAAACGUUCUUUGCGAAACCAUCCAACCCCAUAUCCUUAGAGUGCCAAAUUUUCGUGCAACCGCGAUUGGCUCCUUUGUUGUUCGAGGGUCGAAAUGGGAAGGGGAGAUCGUUUCUUUUAGAACCCAACCGUGAGUUCAUUGAGGGAGAAUUCUUCGGGUUUUCUUAGGAUUUUGGGGCAAAGACGCGGAGAGCUUAAUAGUCGCUAAGUGAGGAAGACACGUGAGAACGAGAGAACGCGAAGGGCGAGUGAAGAGCGUUAGGAGCGUGAAGUCUUUCGGUGAUGAGGGUGUGACCGUGAGAGGAGCAAAAACCAAAUCAAGUGUGAAUUUGGGACGUUACACCUUGCUGUAUUCACAUCCACAGCCUAGAGUAGUGGUCAAUUUGGGUAUUUUCUGCCACUAUACUACUCCGGAGAUCCAAAAAUCCACUCCUUUGUUUGUCGCUGCCAAAGCCGCUUUCUCAAACCAAUUCAUCUGUGCAGAAAUCACUUAGCUGCGUGUUAUUCACCCUUUUAUUCCUUAACUGGAAUGGUUAUUCUCUGUAUACCCUUGGUAUAUCUAGCUUUUAAGUAACCCGGAUCUCUUAUCAGGCUCUCUUCCUAUUUGUAUUCUUAUUUUCCGACACCAUUGAAUUUUUUUCUCACUAUCGGCACCGUCUCGUGCUUCCUCCACCGCAACCAACAUGUUCACAUAUCCGUGGUCUUCCUCUCAACGUCGGGGAAUCAAAAGUAUCUGGUUCUGAUAUUAGAGUUGGAAAUAUCAUUGGAAAACAAGGGCGCAUUUACGAGGUUCUUAAAGUAGAUCACUCUCAUGAAGGAAGAGGAAAAGCACAAUCAAGGUGGAGCUUCGUGACAUUGGCCAGGGAAACAAGAUAACACAAAGAAUGAGUAUUGCUGACAAUAUUGAAAAUGUAGUCCUAGCAUUAAAUUUUUGCAUGAGUUCAGUCCUACUGAACAGUGACACCCAAAUGAAAAAAAGGUGAAAGUUUUGAAAGAAAAAGGGUACCUAUAGAGAGUAGGGUUAGAAGGGUCUGGCUUGAUGGCUUGAGUGCAGCAGCUUUGAGAUACUUUCCUGACUUGAAAAACUCGUUGCCCUGAUCCUUCAGAGACAUCUCCGAACCUGAACCUUCUUUGGUUUCUGCCAUUGAUGAUAUUUUUCGUCUUAACCUUUAAAUCUGUGAUUCUGAUUCCUAAAGGAUGUCUAUAGGGUUUACCACGAAGAUGUUUGUUCCUUCCAAAACAGUUUUCUUUGGUUUUAGAUGCUUGUUUGUGUUUCAUACUAAAAAAUAAGCUAAAUUGCACCCUUCC